rnacentral:rRNA from 1 species
GGGUUGUGAGGUUAAGCGACUAAGCGUACACGGUGGAUGCCCUGGCAGUCAGAGGCGAUGAAGGACGUGCUAAUCUGCGAUAAGCGUCGGUAAGGUGAUAUGAACCGUUAUAACCGGCGAUUUCCGAAUGGGGAAACCCAGUGUGAUUCGUCACACUAUCAUUAACUGAAUCCAUAGGUUAAUGAGGCGAACCGGGGGAACUGAAACAUCUAAGUACCCCGAGGAAAAGAAAUCAACCGAGAUUCCCCCAGUAGCGGCGAGCGAACGGGGAGCAGCCCAGAGCCUGAAUCAGUGUGUGUGUUAGUGGAAGCGUCUGGAAAGGCGCGCGAUACAGGGUGACAGCCCCGUACACAAAAAUGCACAUGCUGUGAGCUCGAUGAGUAGGGCGGGACACGUGGUAUCCUGUCUGAAUAUGGGGGGACCAUCCUCCAAGGCUAAAUACUCCUGACUGACCGAUAGUGAACCAGUACCGUGAGGGAAAGGCGAAAAGAACCCCGGCGAGGGGAGUGAAAAAGAACCUGAAACCGUGUACGUACAAGCAGUGGGAGCACAGAGCAAUCUGUGUGACUGCGUACCUUUUGUAUAAUGGGUCAGCGACUUAUAUUCUGUAGCAAGGUUAACCGAAUAGGGGAGCCGAAGGGAAACCGAGUCUUAACUGGGCGUUAAGUUGCAGGGUAUAGACCCGAAACCCGGUGAUCUAGCCAUGGGCAGGUUGAAGGUUGGGUAACACUAACUGGAGGACCGAACCGACUAAUGUUGAAAAAUUAGCGGAUGACUUGUGGCUGGGGGUGAAAGGCCAAUCAAACCGGGAGAUAGCUGGUUCUCCCCGAAAGCUAUUUAGGUAGCGCCUCGUGAAUUCAUCUCCGGGGGUAGAGCACUGUUUCGGCAAGGGGGUCAUCCCGACUUACCAACCCGAUGCAAACUGCGAAUACCGGAGAAUGUUAUCACGGGAGACACACGGCGGGUGCUAACGUCCGUCGUGAAGAGGGAAACAACCCAGACCGCCAGCUAAGGUCCCAAAGUCAUGGUUAAGUGGGAAACGAUGUGGGAAGGCCCAGACAGCCAGGAUGUUGGCUUAGAAGCAGCCAUCAUUUAAAGAAAGCGUAAUAGCUCACUGGUCGAGUCGGCCUGCGCGGAAGAUGUAACGGGGCUAAACCAUGCACCGAAGCUGCGGCAGCGACGCUUAUGCGUUGUUGGGUAGGGGAGCGUUCUGUAAGCCUGCGAAGGUGUGCUGUGAGGCAUGCUGGAGGUAUCAGAAGUGCGAAUGCUGACAUAAGUAACGAUAAAGCGGGUGAAAAGCCCGCUCGCCGGAAGACCAAGGGUUCCUGUCCAACGUUAAUCGGGGCAGGGUGAGUCGACCCCUAAGGCGAGGCCGAAAGGCGUAGUCGAUGGGAAACAGGUUAAUAUUCCUGUACUUGGUGUUACUGCGAAGGGGGGACGGAGAAGGCUAUGUUGGCCGGGCGACGGUUGUCCCGGUUUAAGCGUGUAGGCUGGUUUUCCAGGCAAAUCCGGAAAAUCAAGGCUGAGGCGUGAUGACGAGGCACUACGGUGCUGAAGCAACAAAUGCCCUGCUUCCAGGAAAAGCCUCUAAGCAUCAGGUAACAUCAAAUCGUACCCCAAACCGACACAGGUGGUCAGGUAGAGAAUACCAAGGCGCUUGAGAGAACUCGGGUGAAGGAACUAGGCAAAAUGGUGCCGUAACUUCGGGAGAAGGCACGCUGAUAUGUAGGUGAAGUCCCUCGCGGAUGGAGCUGAAAUCAGUCGAAGAUACCAGCUGGCUGCAACUGUUUAUUAAAAACACAGCACUGUGCAAACACGAAAGUGGACGUAUACGGUGUGACGCCUGCCCGGUGCCGGAAGGUUAAUUGAUGGGGUCAGCGCAAGCGAAGCUCUUGAUCGAAGCCCCGGUAAACGGCGGCCGUAACUAUAACGGUCCUAAGGUAGCGAAAUUCCUUGUCGGGUAAGUUCCGACCUGCACGAAUGGCGUAAUGAUGGCCAGGCUGUCUCCACCCGAGACUCAGUGAAAUUGAACUCGCUGUGAAGAUGCAGUGUACCCGCGGCAAGACGGAAAGACCCCGUGAACCUUUACUAUAGCUUGACACUGAACAUUGAGCCUUGAUGUGUAGGAUAGGUGGGAGGCUUGGAAGUGUGGACGCCAGUCUGCAUGGAGCCGACCUUGAAAUACCACCCUUUAAUGUUUGAUGUUCUAACGUUGACCCGUAAUCCGGGUUGCGGACAGUGUCUGGUGGGUAGUUUGACUGGGGCGGUCUCCUCCUAAAGAGUAACGGAGGAGCACGAAGGUUGGCUAAUCCUGGUCGGACAUCAGGAGGUUAGUGCAAUGGCAUAAGCCAGCUUGACUGCGAGCGUGACGGCGCGAGCAGGUGCGAAAGCAGGUCAUAGUGAUCCGGUGGUUCUGAAUGGAAGGGCCAUCGCUCAACGGAUAAAAGGUACUCCGGGGAUAACAGGCUGAUACCGCCCAAGAGUUCAUAUCGACGGCGGUGUUUGGCACCUCGAUGUCGGCUCAUCACAUCCUGGGGCUGAAGUAGGUCCCAAGGGUAUGGCUGUUCGCCAUUUAAAGUGGUACGCGAGCUGGGUUUAGAACGUCGUGAGACAGUUCGGUCCCUAUCUGCCGUGGGCGCUGGAGAACUGAGGGGGGCUGCUCCUAGUACGAGAGGACCGGAGUGGACGCAUCACUGGUGUUCGGGUUGUCAUGCCAAUGGCACUGCCCGGUAGCUAAAUGCGGAAGAGAUAAGUGCUGAAAGCAUCUAAGCACGAAACUUGCCCCGAGAUGAGUUCUCCCUGACUCCUUGAGAGUCCUGAAGGAACGUUGAAGACGACGACGUUGAUAGGCCGGGUGUGUAAGCGCAGCGAUGCGUUGAGCUAACCGGUACUAAUGAACCGUGAGGCUUAACCUUACAACGCCGAAGGUGUUU